rnacentral:rRNA from 1 species
AACGAACGCUGGCGGCAGGCUUAACACAUGCAAGUCGAACGCCCCGCAAGGGGAGUGGCAGACGGGUGAGUAACGCGUGGGAAUCUACCCAGAUCUUCGGAACAACUGAGGGAAACUUCAGCUAAUACCGGAUACGCCCUACGGGGGAAAGAUUUAUCGGUUCUGGAUGAGCCCGCGUUGGAUUAGCUAGUUGGUGAGGUAAUGGCUCACCAAGGCGACGAUCUCUAGCUGGUUUGAGAGGAUGAUCAGCCACACUGGAACUGAGACACGGUCCAGACUCCUACGGGAGGCAGCAGUGGGGAAUAUUGGACAAUGGGCGCAAGCCUGAUCCAGCCAUGCCGCGUGUGUGAAGAAGGCCUUCGGGUUGCAAAGCACUUUCAGCGAGGAGGAAGGGUGGUGUGUUAAUAGCACAUCAUUUUGACGUUACUCGCAGAAGAAGCACCGGCUAACUCUGUGCCAGCCGCCGCCGUAAAAC